AUGACCUUCAUCUCCAUCUUCAUCUGCACGCUGGCUCUCUGCACUCAAGGAUCCAGAGGUCAGGUGACUGUGACUCAGAGUCCUGCAGUAAAACAUGUUGAUCCAGGAGCUUCAGUCACCAUCAGCUGUAAAACCAGUUCUGAUGUUUAUAGUUAUUAUGGUGCUAAUCGUUUAGCCUGGUAUCAGCAGAAACCUGGAGAAGCUCCUAAACUCCUGAUCUACUUGGCUAACAGCAGAGCAUCAGGUAUUCUAGAUCGUUUCAGUGGCAGUGGAUCUGGAUCUGACUUCACUCUGACCAUCAGUAGAAUUGAGACUGGAGAUGCAGGAGAUUAUUACUGUCAGAGAUCAUUGCGUUGUCUGACUCCCAAAACCUUUUAG